rnacentral:lncRNA from 1 species
GCAGGGCACUGAACUGGAACUGCGUGGCGCGGAGGUGGGCAUCAGAAAGCCCGGGAAGGGGGAAUCUGGCUGGCAUCAUCACACAAAGGACGACCGAGUCACCGAGUGAGGAGAGCUGUGGGUCAUAACAGGAGAAGCAGCCGGCGGCAGAACACAGAGGGCCCUGAACAUUCAGGAGUCAGGCAAGGAGCACAAGGUCCUCGCUUCCCGGAGUUUCUGGACGUGAACAGAAAGCAACACUUUGAUGAUCAUGUGGGCAGGAGAGGGAUGAACUUUGGUGGGGUGAGGGGCAGGGAAACCGGACUUUUAGGCUCUCUGAGCAUCCCACCAAGUGGCUGUCGGUUCAGAAGACCUGUCCCCAGGGCGACUAAUGUCUGCACAAGAAUUGACUCAGGUGUUGCUGCUCUCAGUACGGUAGAAAAGGUUUCUAACAGUGGUGCGUUGGAGCUGCCCCAACCAGCACGUGAGAGCUGAUGGUUACAUGAUGAGACCCAGCAGAGAAACAGGAAAUGAGAGGCAGACGAAAGGAGAUCAAGCUGUCAGCUUGAUUCCUGACACAGGCAUCAUCUUCAUCCCUAUACUGAACUUCCCAGCACUCACGCUCUGCAGACCUCCUUCUUCAGGGGACACUUCUCAAAAGAAGACAUUUAUGCGGCCAAAAAACAUCAUCACUGGUCAUUAGAG